AGAACGAACGCUGGCGGCAUGCCUAACACAUGCAAGUCGAACGAGACCUUCGGGUCUAGUGGCGCACGGGUGCGUAACGCGUGGGAAUCUGCCCUUGGGUACGGAAUAACAGCGAGAAAUUGCUGCUAAUACCGUAUAAUGACGUAAGUCCAAAGAUUUAUCGCCCAGGGAUGAGCCCGCGUAGGAUUAGCUUGUUGGUGAGGUAAAAGCUCACCAAGGCGACGAUCCUUAGCUGGUCUGAGAGGAUGAUCAGCCACACUGGGACUGAGACACGGCCCAGACUCCUACGGGAGGCAGCAGUGGGGAAUAUUGGACAAUGGGCGAAAGCCUGAUCCAGCAAUGCCGCGUGAGUGAUGAAGGCCUUAGGUUGUAAAGCUCUUUUGCCCGGGAUGAUAAUGACAGUACCGGAGAAUAAGCUCCGGCUAACUCCGUGCUAGCAGCCGC
rnacentral:rRNA from 1 species